CACGUAGGGUGCGAGCGUUGUCCGGAAUUAUUGGGCGUAAAGAGCUCGUAGGCGGUGUGUCGCGUCGGCCGUGAAAACCUGCAGCUUAACUGUGGGCUUGCGGUCGAUACGGGCAUCACUGGAGUUCGGCAGGGGAGACUGGAAUUCCUGGUGUAGCGGUGAAAUGCGCAGAUAUCAGGAAGAACACCUGUGGCGAAGGCGGCUCUCUGGGACGGUACUGACGCUGAGACGCGAAAGCGUGGGGAGCGAACAGG
rnacentral:rRNA from 1 species